rnacentral:rRNA from 1 species
GAUGAACGCUGGCGGCGUGCUUAACACAUGCAAGUCGAACGGAAAGGCCCAAGCUUGCUUGGGUACUCGAGUGGCGAACGGGUGAGUAACACGUGGGUGAUCUGCCCUGCACUUCGGGAUAAGCCUGGGAAACUGGGUCUAAUACCGGAUAGGACCACUUCUUGGAUGUUGUGGUGGAAAGUUUUUUCGGUGUGGGAUGAGCUCGCGGCCUAUCAGCUUGUUGGUGGGGUAAUGGCCUACCAAGGCGUCGACGGGUAGCCGGCCUGAGAGGGUGUACGGCCACAUUGGGACUGAGAUACGGCCCAGACUCCUACGGGAGGCAGCAGUGGGGAAUAUUGCACAAUGGGAGCAAGCCUGAUGCAGCGACGCCGCGUGGGGGAUGACGGCCUUCGGGUUGUAAACUCCUUUCGCUAGGGACGAAGCGUUUUUGUGACGGUACCUGGAGAAGAAGCACCGGCUAACUACGUG